UAGGGAAUAUUGGUCAAUGGGCGAGAGCCUGAACCAGCCAUGCCGCGUGCAGGAAGACAGCUUUCUGAGUUGUAAACUGCUUUUAUAUGGGAAGAAAAAGGCCUUGCGAGGCAAAUUGCCGGUACCAUAUGAAUAAGCACCGGCUAACUCCGUGCCAGCAGCCGCGGUAAUACGGAGGGUGCAAGCGUUGUCCGGAUUUAUUGGGUUUAAAGGGUGCGUAGGCGGAUCUUUAAGUCAGUGGUGAAAUCCUGCAGCUUAACUGUAGAACUGCCAUUGAUACUGGAGGUCUUGAGUAUACUAGAGGUAGGCGGAAUUUAUGGUGUAGCGGUGAAAUGCAUAGAUACCAUAAAGAACACCGAUAGCGUAGGCAGCUUACUGGAGUAUAACUGACGCUGAGGCACGAAAGCAUGGGUAGCGAACAGG
rnacentral:rRNA from 1 species